ACAAUCAAAGUCACAAAAACCCUAGCUUGGUUCCCUAUAUAGAAAUAGCUAGAUUAAACCUGUCCCUUCCUCCUCAGAAAAAUCCUAUUUAGCUCUCUAGCUAUAAGCUAAAUUGAUACAGCAAGCUAGGCUAGCUAGCAGGGUAAACAGGGAGAUAUAUAGAUACGAUUCGAUCCGAAGAAUGAGGUUCAUAGGGGUGGUUCUUGUUCUUAGUUUGCUGAUGAGCAUGAGCUGCUGCUGGGCUACAGAUAUGAAAUCUUUAACAGUAAAUGAUGUAGAAAUGGAAGAAGAAGAGCAUAGAAAGGUUGUUGAGGGGAAUCAUAUGAUCAAUAAUGGCGAUUUUCCUGCAACUAGUGUCAAUAACCACCAUUACAUUCCUAGGCAGGACUUUGGAAGCUUUGGUGGAGAUUCUGGAAACUGUGACACCAGCUAAAAGCUACAGUGUGUCUCUCUCUCUAUAUAUAUGUUUUCUUGUAAGCAUGCCAACAUUUUCAGCAAAAAUAUUUAUGAACAAUGCAAAUUUAUAUA